rnacentral:rRNA from 1 species
CAGUAGCCGCGGGAAUACAGAGGGUGCGAGCGUUAAUCGGAUUUACUGGGCGUAAAGCGUGCGUAGGCGGCUUUUUAAGUCGGAUGUGAAAUCCCUGAGCUUAACUUAGGAAUUGCAUUCGAUACUGGGAAGCUAGAGUAUGGGAGAGGAUGGUAGAAUUCCAGGUGUAGCGGUGAAAUGCGUAGAGAUCUGGAGGAAUACCGAUGGCGAAGGCAGCCAUAUGGCCUAAUACUGACGCUGAGGUACGAAAGCAUGGGGAGCAAACAGGAUUAGAUACCCCGGUAGUCCCUGUCUCUUAUAC